AAAUUUGCGCAGUGGCAGUAUCAUAGCGAAUGAGGUUUAUCCGAGGCCUGAUUAUUGUUAAUUGAAAACUUUUCCUAAAAUUCCCAGUGAAGCCAUUAUAAAUCUCUAAUAAGAAUAAUUUGAAGUAUACAGCAAAGUAGACAUAUG
rfam:Fukomys damarensis contig140695, whole genome shotgun sequence.